rfam:Parcubacteria (Adlerbacteria) bacterium GW2011_GWC1_50_9 TY61_C0038, whole genome shotgun sequence.
GGAAGCGUGGCAGAGUGGUUGAAUGCACCGGUUUCGAAAACCGGCAUACCUUUACCGGUAUCGGAGGUUCGAAUCCUCCCGCUUCCG